AACGAACGCUGGCGGCAGGCUUAACACAUGCAAGUCGAGCGGGCACUUCGGUGUCAGCGGCAGACGGGUGAGUAACGCGUGGGGAUCUGCCUAGUGGUACGGAACAACUCAGGGAAACUUGAGCUAAUACCGUAUAAGUCCUUCGGGAGAAAGAUUUAUCGCCAUUAGAUGAACCCGCGUCUGAUUAGCUAGUUGGUAGGGUAAUGGCCUACCAAGGCGACGAUCAGUAGCUGGUCUGAGAGGAUGAUCAGCCACACUGGGACUGAGACACGGCCCAGACUCCUACGGGAGGCAGCAGUGGGGAAUAUUGGACAAUGGGCGCAAGCCUGAUCCAGCCAUGCCGCGUGAGUGAUGAAGGCCUUAGGGUUGUAAAGCUCUUUCGCUGGGGAAGAUAAUGACGGUACCCAGAUAAGAAGCCCCGGCUAACUUCGUGCCAGCCGCCGCCGUAACAC
rnacentral:rRNA from 1 species